GCCCGGCUAGCUCAACAGGGUAGAGCGGCAGAGAUAUAAAUGGGAUUCUUUCCCCGUGGAAGGAUUGGCUACUGUUGAGUUGACCAUUCCACGGGGAAAGAAUCUUCCUCUUCUAAAGAUGCGGGUUCGAGUCCCGCGCUGGGCG